rnacentral:lncRNA from 1 species
AUGGCGAUAUGGGUCGACCGUCAACCCCAAUGGCACCCAACAAUCUGGAACAGUCUGAGCGCUACUGUAAAAAUACACUCGGCAUCUCAGCACGAGCGUAACUGAAAUCUAAACUAUCUGGGAUAUCCACCACGCCGAUACUGCGGCGAUACAAAAUAAUAACGGCUUCUUGAGCUAAAUCAGGUAGUUUAAAUAUAUGACAGGUCAUAAUCGCAGUUUUCUCCUAAGUCAU